rnacentral:tRNA from 1 species
ACCUGGCUGGCUCAGUCGGUAGAGCAUGCGACUCUUGAUCUCGGGGUCGUGAGUUCAAGCCCCACGUUGGGUG